GAAAAUGUAAACAGAAACAAAAUCCAGCAGAUAUUCUCUUUUUUGCAUACUUAUGAUGACUGAAAAAGGACAUAAGCAAUUUUUCAUCAUCUCACCGCAGCCAACUAUCAGUAAAGCACCUGCUGUACAUAGAACAACAAUCCAUUACAGCUUUGACUAUGCCGAGCAGGUCUUCUACCCAUACUGGGCACAGCAAGAGGGCCCUGCUUUGAAGUGUUCUGUAAAUCAUAUGGUUCACAGAUAUUUAUCUCAGUGAUGGAGGGUUUAGCUGUUAUGUGGCCAAUGGUGUGGUACCUCAUUUUCAACAUCAUCCAUAUUAAGAAGAACCUGCAUACCUGCACAUUGACAACUGUGUUGGGCGGAACAAAAACAAUGCAGUCAUUGAGGUCUGAUGUAUUCUGAAGGGGCUACAUAGAGAAAUAGCAUUUACUUAAACGGGAGCGGGUGAAAUAAAGUUAUGUCCUGUCUGAGAUUUGGUCUGUUGAAGUUAGACCAAAUGGAGGCAGCACACAUCCUUUGUGGAUUGAUGACCUUGGCAAACUGGUUAUAUUCUUUGACUGGUUGGAGUACACCAAGAGACCCCUGAAGUCCAUUCCAAACUUGAGGAAAUAUCAUCACUUCAGAACUUCAGCUGACAACCCAGUGAGUGAAUUCAUGAGAGAGCAUGCCAAGGACAGUGAGAUUGAUGUUAAAAUCGACAACCCCACAACAAUGGCUUUUCCAUGGAGAGUACCCUGAACGCAUCCAACUAAAAGGACUUGAUGCAAAAAGGCUCUGGUCCCUUAAAUAAGUGAAAAAACUUUUCAGUAUACUGAUAUGUGAUCUUUAUAAACUAAUUCUAAGAUUUGAGAAUGAUCCAUUACUGAGCUGAUGAAAACGUGUAUCAAUUUUUUAUUGACAAUUAUUUAUUUAAUAGAAACAUGUUUAUGUGAAAUAAGGCUACCAGUGAUUUCGAGUGAUAAACUACAUGGUUUUAGCAAAUGAGUGAUAGAAGUGAUAGAACUUUUACCUAUGAAUAAGCAUGAGAAUAUCAUUCGUCAUGUACUAAGUGGCCAUUUGCUACUACAUAAUGACGUGUACAUGCUAAGUAGUUAGUAUGUUAAAUAAAUUGUUUUCAUUUUGUAAAUGUGCCCAUUUAUUAACUGAUCUUAAUAUACAAUAGUGUAAUUGUGUAGUAUUGUUAUGUUUAUUAACCACCAUUUCAUGUGAGCAAUGAAUAACUAUACAAAAAUUUGAGGUAAAUUGGUAAAGUUGGUGUGAUCAUAAUCCUGUUUGUGGCCUGUUGCCAUGGUAACCAGGAUAAAAAACAAACCCUUAAAGACCAUUCAAAUAAGAUAAAUUGUAGUAAAUUACAGUAGUAACAUACUUUAACCUCUAGAUAUACAUUGGUUUGUAUAAGGUGCAAGUUCCAACCUAAUAUUGUGAAAAUUUUCCAAUAAACUACGGUACUUGGCGAACAGUUUUUAUUUAUUCUGACAUUUGUCAAAUACAUUAACCAGGUACAGUAAGGUUUGAGGAUAUCAAUUAACAAAUCAAUUAUUAUUGAAUGCUUCAGAUGACAUUUAUUGUAUAUUUAAAUGCAAAUUUAACCCCAAAACGCCUUUUUUUCAAUAAUGGUUGCCAUGGUAACCAAUUAAUUUUCAUUUAUUUUCUCAAUAAUAAUUGAGAAUGGUUUUGAAAAUAUGUUGUUGUCGUUAUAAUGUGGGAAUUGUGUAUAUUGUAGUAAUGCAUAUUUAUUGCAUCUGUGAAUACAAAUGUUUCAAUAAAUUCUUGAACUUCA